rnacentral:rRNA from 1 species
CGCGUAGGCGGGGAUACAAGUCAGGUGUGAAAUCUAUGGGCUUAACCCAUAAACUGCACUUGAAACUGUAUCUCUUGAGUGUCGGAGAGGUAGACGGAAUUCCUAGUGUAGCGGUGAAAUGCGUAGAUAUUAGGAGGAACACCAGUGGCGAAGGCGGUCUACUGGACGAUAACUGACGCUGAGGCGCGAAAGCGUGGGGAGCAAACA